CUGUUAACUCCUCACCGUCAGCCUCCGAGACCAUGAUCAUUCUCCCUCCUGAAACAAUGAAAGCAUGGCUUUGAGAAGAGGCAUACCACCUGAGGUUCUCUGGCCAGGACAUGGCAGACUGGGACUAGAGCUGGACAUUUUACCCCAAGGUGAUGGAUCCCAUCCUGAGCCUUAUAGACUUGAGGAAUUUUCUCUACCUUCCUCACACAGAAGCCGCUUGCUCACUUGUGUUCCAUCUUGAGUGCUUGAGCUGACAUGUACAUAUACCACCUGUUAUGGGCUGAAGUGUGUCCCUGCCCCAAAUUUAGAUGUUGAAGUCCUCACUCUCAGCACCUUAGAACGUAACCAUGUUUGAAGAAAAAAUCUUCUGAGAGGUAAUUAAGCUAAAAUGAAGUCUUCAGGGUGGGCCUUAAUCCAAUGUGACUGGUGUGCUUAUAAGAAGAGGAAAUUUGGACCCAUGGAAAGACAACAGAAGCAUGCACAGACAGAGGGACCCCGUGUGAAGACACUGCGAAAACGUGGCCAUCUGCAAGCCAGGGGGAGAAGUCUUGAGAGAAACUAGCCCUGCCAAUGCCUUGAUUUUGGACUUCUAGCCUCUAUAACUGUGAGAAAAUAAAUCUCUGUUGUUUAA
rnacentral:lncRNA from 1 species